rnacentral:rRNA from 1 species
AAUAUUGCACAAUGGGCGCAAGCCUGAUGCAGCGACGCCGCGUGGAGGAUGAAGGCUUUCGGGUCGUAAACUCCUGUCUGGGGGGAUGAAUACUGACAGUACCCCCGGAGGAAGCCCCGGCUAACUACGUGCCAGCAGCCGCGGUAAUACGUAGAGGGCGAGAGUUGUCCGGAAUUACUGGGCGUAAAGGGUGCGUAGGCGGCCGAUUAAGUCAGAUGUGAAAUACCACGGCUCAACUGUGGGGGUGCAUAUGAAACUGGUUGGCUUGAGUGCAGGAGAGGAAAGUGGAAUUCCUAGUGUAGCGGUGAAAUGCGUAGAGAUUAGGAGGAACACCAGUGGCGAAGGCGACUUUCUGGACUGUAACUGACGCUGAGGCACGAAAGCGUGGGGAGCAAAC